AUUGAACGCUGGCGGCAGGCCUAACACAUGCAAGUCGAACGAGUGGCGGACGGGUGAGUAAUGUCUGGGAAACUGCCUGAUGGAGGGGGAUAACUACUGGAAACGGUAGAUAAUAACGCAUACCAUCAGAUGUGCCCAGAUGGGAUUAGCUAGUUGGUGGGGUAACGGCUCACCAAGGCGACGAUCCCUAGCUGGUCUGAGAGGAUGACCAGCCACACUGGAACUGAGACACUGUCCAGCCUCCUACGUGAGGCACCAGUUGGGAAUAUUGCACAAUGGGCGCAAGCCUGAUUCAGACAUUCCGCGUGUAUGAAGAAGUCCUUCGGGUUGUAAAGUACUUUCAGCGGGGAGGCGUUACCCGCAGAAGAAGCACCGGCUAACUCCGUGCCAGCAGCCGCGGUAAUAC
rnacentral:rRNA from 1 species